NCGUCUGUAGCCUAGUUGGUAAAGGCAGCACUCUAGUAUGUGUCUCAGCAUAGCUGAGGUCGUGAGUUCGACUCUCACCAGACACA
rnacentral:tRNA from 1 species